CCUACGGGAGGCAGCAGUGGGGAAUCUUGGACAAUGGGGGCAACCCUGAUCCAGCGAUGCCGCGUGGGUGUAGAAGGCCUUCGGGUUGUAAAGCCCUUUAGGUUGGGACGAAGGUGAUAAGGGGAUAAUCCUUAUCAUUUGACGGUACCGACAGAAUAAGCACCGGCAAACUCUGUGCCAGCAGCCGCGGUAAUACAGAGGGUGCAAGCGUUAAUCGGAAUUACUGGGUGUAAAGGGCGCGUAGGCGGUUUAAUAGGUGUGAUGUGAAAGCCCUGGGCUUAACCUGGGAAGUGCAUCGCAAACGGUUAAACUGGAGUAGAUGAGAGGGUGGCGGAAUUUCCGGUGUAGCGGUGAAAUGCGUAGAGAUCGGAAGGAACGUCGAUGGCGAAGGCAGCCACCUGGCAUCAUACUGACGCUGAGGCGCGAAAGCGUGGGGAGCG
rnacentral:rRNA from 1 species